rnacentral:rRNA from 1 species
UACGUAGGGGGCUAGCGUUGUCCGGAAUCAUUGGGCGUAAAGCGCGUGUAGGCGGUCCGGUAAGUCCGCUGUGAAAGUCGAGGGCUCAACCCUCGAAUGCCGGUGGAUACUGUCGGGCUAGAGUGCGGAAGAGGCGAGUGGAAUUCCUGGUGUAGCGGUGAAAUGCGCAGAUAUCAGGAGGAACACCUAUUGCGAAGGCAGCUCGCUGGGACGUUACUGACGCUGAGACGCGAAAGCGUAGGGAGCAAACAGG